CAGCGACCCCAGGUCAGGCGGGAUUACCCGCUGAGUUU
rnacentral:rRNA from 3 species